UUUGUAUUAAAAAACGCCGGUCAGCCUACUUCUGCUGGGUUAGAAGGUUCUCUACAAGGACGAAUUUAAGCUAUGUGCUGCUUGGUUUCUUUCGUUCUUUCAGUUAAAUCUGCCGACCUGUGCUCUGAGUUGACGGGUUCGAACUUUCUGCUGGGUUGGGUUCUCCCUUGCAUCUCCAAUUGCUAAAGGUCAGGUGAUGUUCAUAUUGGUUGUGGUCGAUUGAGAUCUUGAAGAUUGGUACUGGGAUUUUUUGAGACCGGCGGCUCGCCGCUGCCCUCACCUUUGCGCCCAUGACUCCCUGUGUUGUGCUAUCAGGAUGCUGGCGGUGUUUAGUCCCCGAAUCUCCUCACUACCCAAAAUUCAUCUACUAGACAUCUAAGUUGAAACUUGGAGAGCAUCUAAUAUCCUCAUGUUCACUUCUUUGUCCUUUUUAUUUUGUCUCUCUCAUUUAAGUACAAGUUCAGUUUCGAUGUCUCAAGACAGAUCCAAGUUCACUGUUAGUUUUGUUUAGGAAACCAUGUGCAUCAGAGGGCAUAACUCUCCAUAAUGCAUGGAAAUAAAAAUAGAGCGCCCAAACAACUUUACCAUGAACACAUUCCUAACUAUUUCUGUGGAUUAAUUGUUUAUUUCUAACUGCUUGAAUAUUGGUUUCCGUGAUAUUCUCACAAUUCGGCUAUGUGCUACUUUUCAGUGACUUCAUGUUCAUUCCUCCCCAUGUUUUUUACUUAUAACUUGGUUUAAAUUUCUGCCAUGCUAUUUUAUCGCAACAUUCCCAUAUCUAAAUAUAUCAAAUGGUAUUGAUAUAUUUGCAACAAUUUCUUGGACGACCCUGACAAGGGAUCAAUUUCUUGCCUUUAAAAGUCAU